rnacentral:rRNA from 1 species
GGACGAACGCUGGCGGCGUGCUUAACACAUGCAAGUCGAACGCUGAAGCUUGGUGCUUGCACUGGGUGGAUGAGUGGCGAACGGGUGAGUAAUACGUGAGUAACCUGCCCUUGACUCUGGGAUAAGCCUGGGAAACUGGGUCUAAUACUGGAUAUGACCUCCUGUCGCAUGGUGGGGGGUGGAAAGGGUUUGUACUGGUUGUGGAUGGGCUCACGGCCUAUCAGCUUGUUGGUGGGGUAAUGGCCUACCAAGGCGACGACGGGUAGCCGGCCUGAGAGGGUGACCGGCCACACUGGGACUGAGACACGGCCCAGACUCCUACGGGAGGCAGCAGUGGGGAAUAUUGCACAAUGGGCGCAAGCCUGAUGCAGCGACGCCGCGUGAGGGAUGACGGCCUUCGGGUUGUAAACCUCUUUCAGCACGGAAGAAGCGAAAGUGACGGUACGUGCAGAAGAAGCGCCGGCUAACUACGUGCCAGCAGCCGCGGUAAUACGUAGGGCGCAAGCGUUGUCCGGAAUUAUUGGGCGUAAAGAGCUCGUAGGCGGUUUGUCGCGUCUGCUGUGAAAGCCCGGGGCUUAACCCCGGGUGUGCAGUGGGUACGGGCAGACUUGAGUGCAGUAGGGGAGACUGGAACUCCUGGUGUAGCGGUGAAAUGCGCAGAUAUCAGGAAGAACACCGAUGGCGAAGGCAGGUCUCUGGGCUGUUACUGACGCUGAGGAGCGAAAGCAUGGGGAGCGAACAGGAUUAGAUACCCUGGUAGUCCAUGCCGU